rnacentral:misc_RNA from 1 species
CACCAGUCACUGGCAUUUCCUUGUCUCGGAAUCGUUUCUGAGACAGAAACAGCAGGACACAGCCAUGACACGUUCUAGGGCUAUGUCUGGAAAAUUCAAAGGAUAGAAAUGCGUUUUCGACGGCUGUAGAUGGCUUCUAGCUUACAAUCAGCAUUUGUUAAUCUCCCGGCAAAACCCAUCGUGAAGCUAUCCAAAGCCAUCGUUAAUCCCAUCUUCUCUCGUGCUUGAGCUUGCUGGAUGAAUCAACUGCUUCACUGGAAUUGGAGAGUGGUCUGAGUCUCGUCGGUGAUGUUUAGAGUGGG